CAGAGGGUAGUUUAAUUUAGAAU
rnacentral:tRNA from 3 species